UAUAAUUUAAAGUAGGGCCUGCCCACUGAAUUUUUGAAGGGCCGCAGUAUUUUGACUGUGCAAAGGUAGCAUAAUCAUUAGUUUUUUAAUUGAAAGCUUGUAUGAAUGGUUUGAUGAGAAGAUAGCUUUCUAUAAAUAAUUGUAUAAAAAUUUUAUUUUUAAGUUAAAAAGCUUAAAUUUUGAUAAAAGACGAGAAGACCCUAUAGAGUUUAAUUUACAACAUAAAUUUAGUUUUUAGAAUUUUAAUAAUUUAGUUUUUGGAGUAAAUUUCAUUGGGGUGAUGGAAAAAUAAGAUUAACUUUUUUUAUUAAAUUACAUUAAUUUAUG
rnacentral:rRNA from 1 species